AGUGAACGCUGGCGGUAGGCCUAACACAUGCAAGUCGAACGGCAGCACAGUAAGAGCUUGCUCUUAUGGGUGGCAAGUGGCGGACGGGUGAGGAAUACAUCGGAAACUACUUUUUCGUGGGGGAUAACGUAGGGAAACUUACGCUAAUACCGCAUACGACCUACGGGUGAAAGCAGGGGACCUUCGGGCCUUGCGCGAUU
rnacentral:rRNA from 1 species